CCCUGUGGUCUAGUGGCUAGGAUUCGGCGCUUUCACCGCCGCGGCCCGGGUUCGAUUCCCGGUC
rnacentral:miRNA from 1 species